CCUACGGGAGGCAGCAGUGGGGAAUAUUGCACAAUGGGGGAAACCCUGAUGCAGCGACGCCGCGUGAGUGAAGAAGUAUUUCGGUAUGUAAAGCUCUAUCAGCAGGGAAGAAAAUGACGGUACCUGAAUAAGAAGCCCCGGCUAACUACGUGCCAGCAGCCGCGGUAAUACGUAGGGGGCAAGCGUUAUCCGGAUUUACUGGGUGUAAAGGGAGCGUAGACGGCAGCACAAGUCUGGAGUGAAAUGCCGGGGCUUAACCCCGGAACUGCUUUGGAAACUGUGCAGCUAGAGUGCAGGAGAGGUAAGUGGAAUUCGUGGUGUAGCGGUGAAAUGCGUAGAUAUGAGGAGGAACACCAGUGGCGAAGGCGGCUUACUGGACUGUAACUGACGUUGAGGCUCGAAAGCGUGGGGAGCAAACAGGAUUAGAUACCCUUGUAGUC
rnacentral:rRNA from 1 species